ensembl:lncRNA
GUGCUUGACCCUGAGGAAACUGCUGAUGACUUCGGGCCCCGUGGCUGUCGGUCACCUCCAGCUGGCCUUACAGUGGCAGUACGAGCUGCUGCGGCGCGGCAGCGUUGGCUCCUCCUCCUCCGCCGACGGAGCGACCGAGCACGUGCAGGACGUCGACCGAGGCGGGAAGGAAGCGAGCAGUCUUCUAGAAAAGUCUGCGUCUACGGUUUCCGCGUUGUCUGAGGGCAAACCCCCCUCCUUCAGCUCCUUCGACUCUGGUUUCGAUGGCGCCGGCACCAACCAGCCGGAGGCGUGUGGGGGCGGGGACUGUGCGAGACGCGCCGCGAGCCACCAGGAGAACGCCGCCGGUGUCUCGGGCGGCGAGGAUCCCAGAGGGGAGUUUGACUUUGGCUCCUUGGGGAACUCCUCCAGGGCCAGCAUCCGUGUCGUCCCCAAGGCGGCCGUGGAGUCCCUCAACCUGGAGAUCAAAGUGAAGCGCUCGGCGCCGGCGCCCAACAACCCCUGGCUCAGCUUACCGAUAGACGAUCUGGAGAACUCGUACACGGUCACCAUCACACAGAACCCGACGCCGCAGAAGAGCGCGCUGCAGUCCCGCGAACCCGCCGACCCCGACCUGGCCGACGGGUCUCGAGAUCAGCCCACGCAGACGGAGGCUCUGACCGGCACGCCGCCCGCGCGCCCACUGAGCGCGGACUGGAGGAUGCGCCCGCAAAGCAGUCCAGAGGAUCGCCAUAUCCUCUCCAGCACGAUCACACAAGGAGGAGACGGGUCGGUCUGCACCACGGAGGGGAUCCCUACGCUCCUCUGGGACUCGUAUGACCUCCGCGACCAGAAUCCGGAUGCUGUGGACGGGUAACGCGUCCGUCAAACAAGUUCAAUCACUUGAACAUUCUACACUUGUUCUUUCAUACUGAUUUCAAAGAUGUUUCCUUAAAACAUUGACCGUUAAGUUACUGUUUUAACUUUACAGUCAACUGAAAAUGUAUUUGUUUGAUUGCCUCAGUGUGCUGGAUGUCUCCCUAAAUGACUGGGAUGUGAAGGAGCAGGAGGACCUGAGGGCAGUGGAAAUGAUUCUGGACCGGGCAGAUGAAAUCCUGGAGAAAGAGGAAAACGUUCUGGCUCAGGAGGCGGUGCUGGACGCCCUGCUGAGGUCGGAGGAGAUGCACCAUCAGUGGCCCCCGUGGGACGGUGAGGACCAGCUCGGUGCGAUGUCGUCCAGUGAGCUGGCUGAAGCUGGUGUUCUCGGCCUGGAGGAUUACCUCGGCCCCGCAGACUCAGACUACCUCUGUGAGCCCAGACCAGCUGGAUCUGCCAGCGAGACUGACGCUGCCACGGGGGAUUUUCCCAGCAAGCCGGACCUGCUGACGGAGAUGAGGAAAGUCCAGAUCCUGGAGGAGCUGAUUAUGGAGGAGAACCUGAAGAUCCAGGACCUCCGGAGCUGCGACGGCAACGCUGAAGAGGAACUCUCUGUGGGGGAACCUCCGGAUGCCAACGGGCUGUCGCGUAUGAGCGAGGAGAGGCAGGCUUUUCAGCUACAACUGGCAAAGGAGAAACGGGAGGUGGAGAAGCUCGAGAAGAGUUUGGACAAAGAACGUAAAGCGAAGAAGCACAAGGGCCAAACCAGAAGGGUUGUAAGAUGUUCUGUAAUGGAGAAGGCUAGAAGUCAGGAUACGGAAGACCUCUGGCUGUGCGACGAGCUUUUAGCAGGUAGCUGUAGAUCACCGAGUACACAUUCAACACCUUCGGUCCAGAAGGAUUCUCAGGAAACCUGUAAAACUGAAAAUGUUCUAGCUGUGUCUGGUCCCGAUGUUGCCAAGGACGCUACACCAGAAGAUACUGUUCCACCUCCAGAUUCCCAAUGUCAAGCUGAUUGCUCGCCAGCAUUUAUUAAAGCCACCUCAGAUGUGAAGGAAGCCCCGGAGGAGGUGCUAAUCCAACAUCCGGGUUCUCUCUUUAGGAGCAAAUUUGACAAAUCCUGUGAAGAUGCGUCGUCGCCCUCUAGAAUUGAGCCAGAUGUUGGCGCGUUUGACCCGGGGGGGAAAUCAUACGGCCCCCUUGUUCCCGAGCCAAGACCGGCUCCACUUCCCGUGAACCACGACACCGUCGCUGAGCACGAACCUCCUCCUGACGCAGAGCUGCAGGAUCCAGCUCGGCCCGCCGGUGCCUCUGAUCCCGCUUUGGUGACUCAGCCUGAGGAUGCCAGUCAAACCGUAGUCCGUCCAGAUGUGGAGGAACGCAGCAGCAGCAGCAGCAGCAGCAGCAAUAAUAACAAUAAUAACCAUGUGCUCACAGAGAAAUGCAACGUUUCAUUGGAACACUUGUCUGAAAUAACCGCUGAAUGUAAGGUGGAUGCAUCAGAAGAAGAUGCAGAGGAGGACCAGACUGUACCUGCUGGUGGGCAGUCGGCUCCCCAGCUGCCCCCGGGCCGACCUCUGGGCUUUGACCCCGGUGGAAGAGAUGAGCAGAGCGAAGGCUUCGCUGUUGGCUUUCAGAGCUCGGAGGCCAUGAGGAUAUCGGGCUCCGGGUCACCUGGGAUUCGGGCCCAGCUAAACAUCAAAACGAGAGAGGUACGCAAUCUCCUGUAA